GCUAAGUGGCAGCCAAACAUUUUAGCAACGUUGCUUUAUGAUCCUUCGAAACUUUCUUCUUCUUAUCAUUGUAAAGUAGAAUUUAUCAAAUGUUGGAUUGUUCAUUCAUCAAUAGAUUAUGUGAGCUAUAUCUAGACCUUUGUGGGAUAGGUU
rnacentral:ncRNA from 1 species